GAGGGUACUGCAUUUUCAGAGAUUGUCCUUCGCCUUCAGUGUCUCUUUUCUUUGUCCCCAGUCAUAAAACCUCCCUUGCUCUCUCUCAGAGUCUAGAAUGUCCUACUAGCUGUUGGAACCUGCUGGAGUUCUAAAGGCAUGCGAUGUCCUGAAUGUGCUUGACCAAUGGACACAGCAUCAGAAGUGGAAACAGCUGGCUUUACUAAACCCUAGGGUCAUUUCACUUUCCUAUGGCUGUCUCUACCAAGUGUAGCUGGUCUCUUUUGAAUACGUGUUGCAAGCUUGAGUUAUGUGCCUCUGAAAUAUGUGGCCCAGGAGGGAAAAUCUGGCUUCAUAGCUCACUUGGUUCACUUAACCCAUGACUGCAUGAAAUUGCUCCUCAAAAUGCAUUUCUGUCUCCAUAGACUCCUAGUGGGGAGGGGCCUAUUGCAUGCAAUGUCUUAAUGUGGGCAGCUUUCCUGACCUCUGCAUGUAGGCUGGGUAUCCCUUGCAGUUGGGUGGGAUGUGACUGCACAUCCAUUUCAAAUGCCCUGAAACUCAGGAUGUGCUCCUGAGGUGCUCCCCAUGCCAGGAUGUGCCUGUGGUUUCCUCAAGAGCUACUUGGAUACACCGCAUACCCUUGGAUCCAGCACUGCUAGAGACUCUGCAGAAACUCUGCAACUUUAACUGGAAACCUCUCUACUGUUGUUGUUCCCUUGGAAAAUGACUAUUUGCCACUUCAGCUGCCAAAUAUCUCCUCCCAAUAUGUUCUGUGAGCAUUCAGUCUGCUCAAAGUCUUGUGUAAUGGUGGAUAUAUGAUGACAUUUGUUUCAAGCUAGGCUCACAUAUCCAUCUAUCUCAGGGGCUACAUGAUU
rnacentral:lncRNA from 10 species